rnacentral:rRNA from 1 species
ACGCUGGGCGGCGCGUCUUAAACAUGCAAGUCGAACGAUCUGUAGCAAUACAGGGAGUGGCGGACGGUGAGGAACACGUAGGAAUCUACCUUGAAGAGCGGGACAACUUUGGGAAACCGGGGCUAAUACCGCAUAGUACAGAGAUGUUAAAGGGCUAGCAAUAGUCGCUUCGAGAUGAGCCUGCGGUCUAUCAGCUUGUUGGUGAGGUAAUGGCUCACCAAGGCUACGACGGAUAGCCGGUCUGAGAGGAUGAUCGGCCACACUGGCACUGAGACACGGGCCAGACUCCUACGGGAGGCAGCAGUUAAGAAUCUUGCGCAAUGGGGGAAACCCUGACGCAGCGACGCCGCGUGAAGGAUGAAGGCUUUCGGGUUGUAAACUUCGGUAGACUGGGAAGAAGAAAUACGUUCGUUGAGGGCGUAUAGUGACGGUACCAGUCUGAAGCCCCGGCUAAUUACGUG